rnacentral:ncRNA from 1 species
CAUGUGGUACCCAACUUAGGGUUGGGAGAGCGACAUGGCCUUAUUUGAGGU